UACGAAGGGGGCUAGCGUUGCUCGGAAUCACUGGGCGUAAAGCGCACGUAGGCGGAUCUUUAAGUCAGGGGUGAAAUCCUGGAGCUCAACUCCAGAACUGCCUUUGAUACUGGGGAUCUCGAGUCCGGGAGAGGUGAGUGGAACUCCGAGUGUAGAGGUGAAAUGCGCAGAUAUCAGGAAGAACACCCGUGGCGAAGGCGGCUCUCUGGGACGGUACUGACGGCUGAGACGCGAAAGCGUGGGGAGCGAACAGG
rnacentral:rRNA from 1 species